rnacentral:rRNA from 1 species
UCGAGAAUCUUCGGCAAUGGGCGCAAGCCUGACCGAGCGACGCCGCGUGGAGGAUGAAGGCCUUCGGGUUGUAAACUCCUGUCGAGGGGGAAAAAGGGCCGCGAGGCCUUGAUUGAUCCCUGGAGGAAGCACGGGCUAAGUUCGUGCCAGCAGCCGCGGUAAGACGAACCGUGCGAACGUUAUUCGGAAUCAUUGGGCUUAAAGCGCGUGUAGGCGGAUUCGUGCGUCUGUCGCUGAAAUCCCCCGGCUCAACCGGGGAACGGGCGCGGAUACGACGAGUCUGGAGGGGCAUAGGGGGACCUGGAACUUCCGGUGGAGCGGUGAAAUGCGUUGAGAUCGGAAGGAACGCCCGUGGCGAAAGCGAGGUCCUGGAUGCCUACUGACGCUGAGACGCGAAAGCCAGGGGAGCGAACGG